AAUAGAUACCCCGGUAGUCCACGCCCUAAACGAUGUCAACUGGUUGUCGGGGAAGCAAUUCCUUGGUAACGAAGCUAACGCGUGAAGUUGACCGCCUGGGGAGUACGGCCGCAAGGUUAAAACUCAAAGGAAUUGACGGGGACCCGCACAAGCGGUGGAUUAUGUGGAUUAAUUCGAUGCAACGCGAAAAACCUUACCUACCCUUGACAUGUACGGAACUUGGCAGAGAUGCCUUGGUGCCCGAAAGGGAGCCGUAACACAGGUGCUGCAUGGCUGUCGUCAGCUCGUGUCGUGAGAUGUUGGAUUAAGUCCCGCAACGAGCGCAACCCUUGUCAUUAGUUGCUACAUUCAGUUGGGCACUCUAAUGAGACUGCCGGUGACAAACCGGAGGAAGGUGGGGAUGACGUCAAGUCCUCAUGGCCCUUAUGGGUAGGGCUUCACACGUAAUACAAUGGCCGGUACAGAGGCGUGCCAACCCGCGAGGGGAGCUAAUCCCAGAAAGCCGGUCGUAGUCCGGAUUGUUCUCUGCAACUCGAGAGCA
rnacentral:rRNA from 1 species